rnacentral:sRNA from 1 species
ACAUUUCCCAGAAAGCCUUGCGCGGGGGGGGGCGGAGGCGGCAGGGAUGCGAUGGCGGAGUCGCUGCCCCUGGAGAUGCUCACAUAUAUUCUGAGCUUCCUGCCUCUGUCAGAUCAGAAAGAGGCCUCCCUCGUGAGCUGGGCUUGGUACCGUGCCGCCCAGAAUGCCCUUCGGGAGUGACUUGUCACCAAACCCAAUGCCCAGCACCCUCUGAAGCCAGAGGGCUACCCCCAGGCCUGCUGCUGCUCCGUAGACAGAUGUGCGAUACAACAUCCCCGUGUCCUCUGCCUCCCUCUCGGCCAUCAAGAGCCUGGGCCUCAAGGGCAUCUGCUGCAUCCGCCUGACCAACCUGGAUGGCUCUCCAGCUUCACACCAGAUGCUACAAUCUGUUGCUUACCACCUGGGCCCACACCUGCAGAGCUUGUCCCUGGGUGGAGGCAGUCCCACAGAGGCCUCCUUUGUGGCCCUGAUCCUGGGCUGCCCAGCCCUGUGUGUCCUUGACCUCAGUGGCUGCAAUAGCCUCUUCACCUCGGGCACA